GGGGUAGUAGCUCAGUCGGUAGAGCAACAGCCUUUUAAGCUGGUGGUCCUGGGUUCGAUCCCCAGCUACCCCA
rnacentral:tRNA from 6 species